UACGAAGGGGGCUAGCGUUGUUCGGAAUCACUGGGCGUAAAGGGCGCGUAGGCGGGUGCUCAAGUCUGUGGUGAAAUCCUCCGGCUCAACCGGAGAACUGCCAUGGAUACUGGGCGUCUCGAGUGUGGUAGGGGUAUGCGGAACUAUCGGUGGAGCGGUGAAAUGCGUUGAUAUCGAUAGGAACUCCGGUGGCGAAGGCGGCAUACUGGACCACCACUGACGCUGAUGCGCGAAAGCCAGGGGAGCAAACGGG
rnacentral:rRNA from 1 species